rnacentral:misc_RNA from 1 species
AAGAGUUGAAAAACUCCCAACCAUUGUGAACUUACCAUUCUGUUGCUUCGGCAGGCGGCUCCCUUAGGGGCCACGCCUACCCCCCAAGGGGCGGGCAGCCUGCCGGAGGCGUCUAAAAUCUUGUUUCAGUUGGCCUCUCUGAGUAACUUAUACAAUAAGUCA